rnacentral:lncRNA from 1 species
UGAGAAUCAAUGGUUCUGAAUAAGAUUCUUCUUUCACAAGAUGAGCCUCCUUGUUCUGGUCUUUCUUGAACAGCCUACCCUUGUUGGAAUAACAAUCAUAGGAGAAAUGUCCCAUCUUAUGACACGUGAAACACUCUAUGUUUUGUUUGUCUUUCUUCUUAUAAUGAUGACUAGCGUUGUUUCUUCUUUCUGCAGAAUCAACUCUUCCUUCUUGUUCAUCAACAUUGCAUUCUUCCACCUUCUAUAUACAAUAGUGUCAUUCUUCCACUUACCUUGUAUAGUAGGCUUACCUCUCCAGUUCUUAAAUUUCUUCUUCCCAUCACCUCUGACAUGCUGCACUUUCAACGCUUGAUCAUCAAGUCUGACAGGAUCUCUAUCAAUAAGCCGCAUCUCGUGACCUCCAAGGAGCUCUGAAGCUCUUCAAUUUUCAGCUUUUCCAGAUCUUUAGACUCUUCAAUUGCAACGACGAUGAAAUCAAACCUCCGAGGUAACAAUCUCAUUAUCUUUUCCAUUAUCAACAUAUCACUAAGCUUCUCCCCACAACACUUCAUUUGGUUCGUAAGCGUCAAGAUUUUUUUAAAAUAAUCCCUGACCUUAGCACCAUUCUCCAUUUGCAGUAGCUCGUACUGCCUUCUCAAAGUUUGAAGUCGAACUUUCUUGAUCUUCUUUCCACCGGCAUGGCAAUGUACUAAAAUGUUCCGCACCUCCCUCGCUAUAUUCGCGUUUUGAAUUUUCUAAAAUUGUGUAUCAUCCACACACUGAUGAAUAAUCAACAAGGCCUUACCGUCCUUCUUUCUAAACUCCUCUUUUUGUUCUUCUGUGCCACGAGACUCAGUUGCAGACUUCACCCUUUCUACCACGUUGUUGAUGCCUUGCACCCGAAACAGCACUCGCAUUUGCGUGCUCCAUCUACUGCAAUUCUUUUCUGUAAGAAUGGGAAGAUUCGUCAUGGAAAGAUCUGCCAUCACCGCCUUCUUUCUACUUCAAGACCCUUCUUCUUUAAACGUCUUUCUUAGUCAGCCGCACUGUACCUAACACACAAACACCCUUCGUCUCUUUCUUCGUAACCUAGGCUAACCGAUACCACUGAUAGAAAGCUAAAGGCUAGUUAUGCAGAAGAGGUGAAAAC